CAAGGCGACGAUCAGUAGCCGGUCUGAGAGGAUGAACGGCCACAUUGGGACUGAGACACGGCCCACGACUCCUACGGGAGGCAGCAGUGGGGAAGUCUUCCGCAAUGGACGAAAGUCUGACGGAGCAACGCCGCGUGAGUGAAGAAGGUCUUCGGAUUGUAAAGCUCUGUUAUACGGGACGAAAAAGACGGAUGCCAACAGUAUCCGUCCGUGACGGUACCGUAAGAGAGAGCCACGGGCUAACUACGUGCCAGCAGCCGCGGUAAAU
rnacentral:rRNA from 1 species